rnacentral:rRNA from 1 species
UACGUAGGUGGCAAGCGCUGUCCGGAUUUAUUGGGUUUAAAGGGUGCGUAGGCGGUCUAUUAAGUCAGUGCUGAAAUAUCCCGGCUUAACCGGGAGGGUGGCAUUGAUACUGAUGGACUUGAGUGCAGUCGAGGUAGGCGGAAUUGACGGUGUAGCGGUGAAAUGCUUAGAUAUCGUCAAGAACACCGAUAGUGAAGACAGCUUACUAGACUGUAACUGACGCUGAGGCACGAAAGUGUGGGGAUCAAACAGG